UGGGGAAUCUUAGACAAUGGGGGAAACCCUGAUCUAGCCAUGCCGCGUGAGUGACGAAGGCCCUAGGGUCGUAAAGCUCUUUCGCUGGGGAAGAUAAUGACUGUACCCAGUAAAGAAGUCCCGGCUAACUCCGUGCCAGCAGCCGCGGUAAUACGGAGGGGACUAGCGUUGUUCGGAAUUACUGGGCGUAAAGCGCGCGUAGGCGGGCUGUUAAGUCAGGGGUGAAAUCCCGGGGCUCAACCCCGGAACUGCCUUUGAUACUGGCAGCCUAGAGUUCGAGAGAGGUGAGUGGAAUUCCGAGUGUAGAGGUGAAAUUCGUAGAUAUUCGGAGGAACACCAGUGGCGAAGGCGGCUCACUGGCUCGAUACUGACGCUGAGGUGCGAAAGCGUGGGGAGCAAACAGGAUUAGAUACCCGUGUAGUCC
rnacentral:rRNA from 1 species